GAGAAGUUUUCCUGGCAUGAAAGAGUAAAUCAUGCACAAAGUUAGCUGAAGAACAUUUUAUACAUCACUCAUCCUGUUCCAUCCAUGAAGCUGUUCAAUUUCCCUACAAGGACGAAUCUUUGGCUGACCUCGUUGAGAUGAAUGAAGAAUAUGGCAGAUGAAAUGAGAAUGAGGGGAUUAUCCAUCUGAAAACUGAGGACAUCCAGUUAAAGCUCAUCUUAUUUUAAUCUUCAUGGUUUAUCAAUACAAGAAAGGCAGUGGCUGACAGAGGCAAAGGAAGCUCUUCUCACCGCUCUCAGACUCAUCUUUUCCUUUAUCAUCUUGGCUACAGCCCAAUAAAAUCAAAGCCCUUCAAGCCAACAAUCUUCUUACUGAAUAAAGUUGAGUCUUUUGCCAUUAUAAAAACAAACCCUAGAAUUGGAUGAUUGAUCAUACCCGCCAGCUGGCUAAUAUCAUAAUUAACAAAGUUGCUACCACGUCUGAGAAGUAUAAUCGAAAAAUUUACCAGCAGUGUGAUGCCAUUGUCACAAGAUCAUAAGCAUUGCAGAGUCGACUUUUGCACUCGGGAGCUGCAGAACUAUGUAGAUGUGCUGAGAAGGGGUGCACUUGUACAGCUAAAGUGAGAUGCGAUUGCAGAAAGAGGAGGAUUUAGUUCUCGCAAAACUAGUCCAGUGGCAAAGUGCAGAACUGAUGUGGCUGUCAUGGUAAAGGAAUUCCUGAAUAAAGAACCACUGUCUGAAGCUAAUCUUUACAUGCAGGAGCUAGAUGGUAUCAAUGGAAAAAAAUGGGAACUCAUUAAAGAGAAAACAUUAAUCAAGUAGAAGGAAGUUCUUUCAGAGACAGGUCAAAUCAGCUGUUUUGAUGAAAUACACUGUAUGUCAAUGUAAAGGAACUAUUUGAGAGACUAUGGACGACAACUGCUGUUCAGUUUAACAUUUGUAUGUCAAGUGGGUGAAUGUCCUUCUCUUACAAGUCAAUGCAGAGGAAGUGGAAAAGAGGUUCAGAAUUUAUGGAAGACUAGCUACAAACUGACAAAGCUAUUUUGUCAACUAGACUUGCAUAGCCUUUUGAAAGUGCCCACAACUAUGAAAACAAAAGCUGAAAAAUUUAAAAUCAACAUGUCACUUAUAAAAGCUCUGUGUACACCUGGGAUUUAGCCACGACUCUGGAAUAUGAUGAGUCAAAAGGUUCUGCUGGAGGAUCACAUUGUGAAAACUACAGCCAUGAAAGGCCCUCCAUUUAUUGCACCCUUCAAAAACGAAAUAUUAGCAUGGGAGGCUAAGCUGCGCGACUAAUGCAGGAGAUUAUGGAAACCUGGCUGCAAGUUCAAAAGGCCCUGGUGAUGCCAGGAACCCAUGUUUUGCUCACAAGAUACAUGUAACCAAAUAUCGGUAGAAGGAAAGCACUUUGAAGUUGUCAGUAGGAACUGGAGGCUAAUAAUGAAGGAGUCAGUGAAGGAGGCCAAUGGCAUGAGGGUUAUCUCACAGCCCCAGAUGCUGGAUAAGUUGAAGGAGGCAGAAUCGCUUUUGGAUGACAUUCAGAAAGGCCUGAAUGAUUAUUUGGAGAAGAAAAGACUAUUCUUUCUAAGGUUUUUCUUUCUGUGCAACGAUGAGCUCUUAGAAAUCCUUUCUGAGACAAAGGAUCCACUCCGAGACCAACCACACCUAAAGAAAUGCUUUGAAGGAAUUGCCAAGCUCACUUUUAAUCAUGAGAAAGAAAUUACUCACAUGGAGUCAGCAGAAAAUGAAAAAGUAGAGCUCGUGCUGCGUAUAAUUCCAGCAAGUGCCAAGGGGCUAGUUGAGAAAUGGCUUCAUGAGGUGAAUAUCUUUAGCUCUUACUUAGGGUUUAGUUACUGUAUAAUCAUUUUCUCUUUUAGGAGCAAGGAAUAUCAUAAGCAUAUUUCCUAAGUAAAUAGCUCUCUGAGAAUUUAUCAGAUUAUUUGACAGAUUGAAU